rnacentral:lncRNA from 1 species
AAGGUGUGUCAAGAUUUUGUGUUGGUGUUCUGUGGUGUGUCGUCGUAGCCUCAACGGGCUCGUCGCUUUGUCUGCGCGCUCAGCGCUGCGUGAUCGGCGUGCUUUCCACGUUUCUUGAUUACUCACGGUUAUUGCGUGGUUCAGUCGAGUGCAUCUACUCAGACAGUCCACCGCCCAGUGCCUUGUCUGACGACGACGGCGACUGUAAAGCACAAGCGUGCGUCUCAGCGGAUGCCUAGGUAAGGCAGCCCGGGUGGCGUGUUCACACAGCAGUGAUGAUGUACGAGAAAAGUUGUCUGAUAGGCAAGUAUGGAUUCUGCUACAGAAUGGCCCACGAACCCAACUUCCGAGCGGCAUGCCUACCGGCCGAACAUCGGAGUGACCCGCCUGUGCGCAGCUUGAUCUGCCUACCAUGCGUCGGCCUUGGUCAUCAUCUCACCGGCCUCGCCUUUCAUCUCUACCACCUGGAAAGCCGGCGUGGCCGACGGAGCAUAGACGACUGACUGUUCAAGGAACUGAAGCAGUGGACAGCUUGCUGUGAAAGAUGGGAGCAUUCUUCCUCUGGUCUGGACAAGCCCAUAUUAAGUGGGAGAUGUUCAAUAUCAACCCGAUGAGAGGCAGCAAAUGUGGAAAUGGACGCAAGUCAAGGACAGCUGCAGACAGCAAAAUAUUGAAACUGAUACAACGAUUGUGCUGAAUCACCGAAGAUAUGAGCCAGAGUGCGAACAGUAUACUCGUACAGUUUGGCAGAAUAAACCC